AGAGAAUUGAGUCGAGAGAUGCUUGAGAGUUCUGUAUUGAUGAGUAUAUAGACACAUGUCCUGUGUCUGUAAUUCCUUAUCUUCUUUAAUCAAUACGAUUCCAAACCGUAAGCAAUGUAGACAUGAGAUUUCUCAAUGUUACUAUGGUAUCAGACUCAGAAAUCAAUUUCUGAGGGUACCGAUCCUAGCUUGUUUCUUCAACAAAACCAUCAUUACUUCCAUCUUCAACAAUCAUCACCAUCAUUAAUCCAUCAUCUUCUGCUGCUGCUGCUAUUGUAAAUCGAAAUUUGAAGCCUGAUUUAAUUGAAUCAUCUCAGAUUUGCGACUAAUUUGACGGAUCUAUGUGUUUCUAUCUACAUCAACAUCAUCAGUAGGUAAUUUUCUUCAUCUACCUCCGUUAAUGGUGUUUUCUGGUAGGAAUUAGGGUUUUGAUUUGGUUUGAUACCCCUGCUAUGUCAACAAACAUGAUUAAGCAUGUAUUUUAGAUCUAAAACUCAGUUUUAGGGUUUGAGCUCUUGGUUAUUUCAACUUCCUGGUUGGUGUUUGGAUUGAAAUCUCUUACCUCAUCAACUAAAAUUUGAGUCUCUGCUGGUAAUCUCCAAUUUCAUCUAUAGAUUACUUUAGAUUUGAUCUAAUGUGUUCAAUUUCUACAUCACUUGCUCAAAUACAUCCAGUUUCAUCUUCAACUGACUUAUACAUCAUAAUUAGCAUGUAUCUUGCAUCUAAUUUCUUUAUCAAGAUCUGUUGUUCUUGUUUCCUGGUGCCAUGAGAUUCUGAGCGUGUUCUAGUCCGCUACACCAAGGUCUAGUUAGGGCGAAAACUUAAAGUCGUUCCACUGAUUGGAUUCAACAGAAUAUUGAGAAGUUGUUGGUCUCAUAUCUUACUUCAAGGCAGUCCUCACAUAUGUGUUGAAGAAUCUUGCGUUUUUUAGUGGUGUUUCUGCAAUUGAACAUCGAAUUGGAGUUGCUGAGUUACAUUAAGUAAAAAUUGGAGUUCUUUUGUUGAGUGUGUAUACACUCAUUAUGCAACCUAGUUUUCAGUUUGCAUAUGUGUUCAAUAUGCAACCUAUUAGUCUGCUACUUUUCAUGCUUCUUGAAUAAUUCAGUUGAAGUUCAGCUUCAAUGGUGCUUUUUUACUUCUAUUUCUUAUGUGAGGGAAUAAUCCAAACCGCUAUGGCCUUAUGGAGAAUAAUCAAAGGAUAAUAAUGUUCAGUAAUUCAUGUAUCGUAUCUUAGAAUGAGACAAGGUCCAGCUGAGUGGGAAGAUUGCAUAAUUGAUAACAAUGCUGAGAUAGUGGAAAUGGUAAAUAUGACAAGAUUUCUUAUUAAUUACCUCCCUUAUGAUAUAUGAGUUUGCUGCAGCUUUCUGGUACACAAGUGAUAGGCCAAGGGCUUAUAUUGGCUAAGUGUAUGUUCUGUGAAUGAUGUUAUUACUGGUGUGUGCUACAUAUUACUUCAGAUUCUACAUUGCAGGGAUUAUCAAGUUGUUUGUGACUUAAUGCAAUAACUAGAAUAAUUCAAUGAACUAUCUCCGUGCUUGCUGGGGAGUGUGUGAAAGAAGAUUAUUUUUUCUUUCUUAUUUAGUACUGCAGGGAGAAGAAAAUUAAUUUUGUUGAGACAAUUUUGCCAAGUAUUCAUGUCCAGGCCUAUGAACUCAACUACUCUACUUUCGCUUAUUCAUGUCCUGGUGCUAAUGAUUUGAUCAUAGAAAGCAAGCUCCUACAGAUGUUAUUCCAAUCAGAUGAGUGAUUCUUAUUCAUAUCUCUUUUAGCUUAAUAUGGAAUUAUAACUGUCACUUUUUCUGCACCAACAACUCCAGCCGCUGCUGCCAGUUUAGCUACGAAGGUUCAGUUCUUGAAUCUGUUUGGUAUUUGUGUUGGUAUGUUGUAAUUUAAGAGUAUACACCACUAGCUGCUGCCAGUUACCCCUUCUCCAUUUGUUUACAUUGAUGGAAAUAACUAUAGUUGGUGUUCUAGAAUACCGUCCAAUUGAAGUUCCAGUUCAUGUGUUGGUUAUGCAGUGUAGUAUUUCAGAAACAUUUAAAUCUUCUUCAUCUGCUGGGGUACUAUUUACAUCAGAUUGUAGACAAGCAGUUAUCAUUGCAUUCCUGGUUCUAGGAAACUUGGUUAUCUUUGUAGUACGCAUGCUGCUAAUACUGGACCCACUGCGAGCUGAAUCUACACCUGCAACAUCUGCUUCUAUUACAUCACCACCUACUUAUCAAGUUACACUGCCUGCAACAUCAUCAAUUCUAACCUUGGUUUGUCACUACUUUACCUACUACUUUUGCUGCUGCCUUAAUAUUUUUGCUACUGCUGCAACUACUUUGCCAGCAUGGUUUGUCUAGCAUAUGUGUGUGCAAGCUCAAGUCGCCUCUUCAAGCCCCCUUGAGCUUGAGGGAGGGUAAUAACAUGUAUUGUGAGUGUGCGAGUGUAUGUGUGUGGUGUGGGAUGUGAGGGUGUGCAGCACGUGCGAGUGCAAGAGAGAAUUGAGUCGAGAGAUGCUUGAGAGUUCUGUAUUGAUGAGUAUAUAGACUCAUGUCCUGUGUCUGUAAUUUCUUAUCUUCUUUAAUCAAUACGAUUCCAAACCAUAAGCAAUCUAGACAUGAGAUUUCUCAAUGUUACUAUUAAUUCACAACCA